GUCCAAUUUCACGAGCCUCUUGGUUGAGGAGUUCUCUGGCUUUAGCAGUAUUUCAUCUAUCAUUGAGAAUGAGAUGAGAAUAUGUCAACGAUGGCAGAUUGUUUUGCUUAUUGGUGUUUAAUUUUAAUUAAAAACCAAACAACUUUUCCUAUUAACUUGAUGCUACUUAUUAAUUCAAAUGAGGAGACUGACUCUGGAUAUUGGAAAAAUUUAUGUCUGGAAUCGCAAAUUGACCUCAAAAUAUAUAUUUGAUCAGGAUGAAUUCCAAACCUGAAAUCAGUUGUUCUCUGAGCUCAGAGUUUUAGAUUAAACAUCUCUCUCUUGAUAUAUAUAUCUAGG
rnacentral:lncRNA from 1 species